CUGUUUUAGUUGCAGGAGACGCUGAAGAUGGAAGCAUUGCAGUCAUUAUUCUCUCACUUGCAUGCAUCAUAUUGAGUGGACUCAUAGGAGCUUUACUAUUUACAAGAUGAGUGGGGCGAGGAGCACAUCUAUAUUACCUCAAUAUGCUAAAUGUGAAAAGGAAUAUGAAGGCAUGGUACUGAUUCUUAACCAUUUCAACUGUACUUUUGCCAUUGUUGAAACCAGCUGGUGACCUACUCAGACCUGCAGCUUCUCCACCAUGGACGUCCAGCGUUCUCCAGCCUCAGGCGCCUAGACUGCAGCUCUGCACAAGAAGAUUGGCCAGAGGAGAACUAAGCCUAGUGUGUGUCGAGGUUUUUUUCCUUCACUUUCGUCAGUUGGUGAAGUUUGUUUCACUGUCGCACUAGCUUGUUUGGUUUGGGACUUGUGGAGCUGCACAUCGUUGGAUAUGCUCUUCAGUGUUUGGGCUUUCAGUAGUGACAUUUACAUUAGACUAAACUGAACUUCAACUGUGAAAACUGAACUGACACGGAUUCAAUUUAAUAAAACUUCUAUGCAAUGCUGCUUUUACACGAUUUCCAUUGUACAAGCACUAUAGAAAUAAAGAUUAAUUGAAUUGCUUGUCAUUUUAUUUUCAACGAAUAACUUCAAUUAUGUUUAUUAUAUUUGCGCUUUUACAUUGUUUUACAAAUUAUGGUGGUUACUGUAGUUUUUGUUAUAUCACACAUCUGUAUCUGCAAAUUGUAAGUGUUCAUAAAUGAAUCCAUUUAAAUCAAAGUUAAACUGAAUACAACAGUAUUGUUACAUUACAUUGUUACACAGUUUUGCAGUAUUGUAUGUAUAAUUUCAUGAGUAAUUUAUUCAUUUAUAUAUAAUGUCUGUGUUAGGUGCUUGGUGCUAAAGUAACGUUGUUCAUAUUUCUGUGUAUGGAAGCUGAUUUUUGUAAAUGAAUUAUGACAGACUGUGAUGAUAGUGAUAUCAAAAUUCAAAUAUAAAAUCUUUGUUCUUCAAAA